UAUUUAUCAACGAAAGCAAAUAUUCAAAACUAAACUGUUUAUAGAAGACUAUGGAGUUUGAUAAAAGUAAAAUAAGUAUUCAUUGACACUCGCAGUUCAUGAAGAGUGUUUGGAAUUUAUCUGGGAAACUUUACGUUAUCGAAAAAAAAAAAGUUGCAUUUGGCACAGCUCGAGUUAAAAAUAGUUUGCACUAACAUCCAAUUGUUAUUUUCAUAGAGUUACGUAAAUUACGUUAAAUGUUUUGCUUGGAAUUUUUUUGAUUUAAAAUUUCCGGUUACGUAUCGAUUCGUAUUCAUCAGUCAUAUGGCUUUUCAAUAAUAUUAAUAUGUUAUAGUAAUGUUAAUUAUUUCUUAUUUAAAUUUUAUGCAUUUUUUUUUUAGUGGAUUUUUGUAAUGGUUUGGUUCAUUAUUUUUGCUUAAAAACAUUAAAAAAUUA